AUCUAUAAAUAAACGUUAUGAAUGAGUGUAAUAUGACCAUAUAUGAAGAAAGCGUAAUCAAAUAACGUGCGAGGGGUACCGAAUGGAGAAACAAGAAAAAAACAUCGUUGGAAUAAUCUCCCCUUUUGAUUGCACACGAGCUUUCAAACGGUUGAGAUCCGGUGCCCAAGACAGGAGAAAAGUGAACCGUAUUGCUGGGGACUCCAAUGCUCAUCGGAUUAAGGAUAUUCUUCCUGAUGAUAUAGCUGUCAAAUGCCUGCCAAUCUCUGAUGAGAAUAUGUAAUGACAAUGGUAUAGAACAGUAAUUACAGUUUCAGACAUUCGCCAACUCUGUUUUCAAAGGUGCCAAAUUUUCUUGUGAUCGUUUUCGCCAUGCAUUGUUGAGAGACUUGCGGAAGAUGGAUGUUCAACAGCUGUAUCUUCAUCU